rnacentral:sRNA from 1 species
ACAUCUACAGUUUUUUCUUUUGUAGGCUUGCUGCAAAUGGAAUACAGCAGGCACUUUCAGAAGGGCGGAGAGGAGGGUAGGACAUCUCCAAAGCACUAUCACCCUUUGUCUUCCCAAAAUGCACCCACUCCAGAUAUAACCCACCCAUGGUAACAAAGCUGUGCGUGCUUAACUGAGAAACUGCGAGCCCUGUAGGCAACCUUGGUACUUGAAGAAAUGGGCAUAUUUUUAUAGAUUUCUACGAGGCAAAUAAUCCACACACUGCAGCAGCCUAAUUGCUAUCCACCCUUGUAUUGAGGGUGAAGGGAGGAGCAAUGAUCUUUUAUCUCAGGUUAGUUGAGUUCUCAUAGAUACGUUGGGACGCCAUUUUGUUGUGGUAAAUCUCCAACCACAAUAAACCCAUUCCAGGUAAAUGCAACUUUGUCUCGGUGAAAUUGCCAACCCCAAUAAGCCCAUGUAAGGAAAACGCAACUCGGUUGUAUAUUUAUAAACUGAACACCUAUAUUGGGAAGAUAUGUCUCUACACCACUUUCUUCCCCAGCUAUGAAAUCCCUAUUACUUGUAGUUUCUCUAGGCCACGUGCUUUUGUUCUAUCUUCCUUUCAACAACUCUCCCUCGGUCCUCCUUCCUUGAGGUCUCUAGCAACUCCUCCUCCUCCCCCCCUCCUCUUCCUGUCUUGACCGGAAAACCCGCCUCCUCAUUUUAGCCCAGCAGUUGGCUAUUUGUCAUCUUUCUUAGCCAAUCAGAUAAUUAAGGGAAGUUCCUCUACUGAUGGGUAUUACAAAGGCUCCACAAAAAUGAGGGAAACUUUCUACCCCUGAGCCACCUCUGUAAGCCUAAUCUAUUUUGGGAAGGGUUAAGAUUAUUUAGGAAGGUCCAGUAGACUCUUUUCUGUGGUAAGAGAAAACCAGAAGCUACUGCGGGCUCGCUCAGCAAAGCUGGUUUGAGUCUCAGUUUCUGGACAGUCACCUCCACUCGAGGCUUCAUAAAGUUGAAUGCAGAGUCUCACAGAUUGGCAGCAGCUCUGCUUCAUUUGAUGAACGUGGAAUAUGGCCUCUCUGCUGCUGUUUUUGACCAUGUGAUGGAUGACCUCAAAUUAAGCAUGCACAGGAGUUAACAACGCUCCCCAAGCAUGGAGCAGUCUUUCCUAUCAGAGUAGG